UACGAAGGGGGCUAGCGUUGCUCGGAAUGACUGGGCGUAAAGGGCGCGUAGGCGGUGAACACAGUUAGGCGUGAAAUUCCCGGGCUCAACCUGGGGGCUGCGUUUAAUACAUGUUCGCUUGAGUUCGGAAGAGGGUCGUGGAAUUCCCAGUGUAGAGGUGAAAUUCGUAGAUAUUGGGAAGAACACCGGUGGCGAAGCGCGC
rnacentral:rRNA from 1 species